rnacentral:lncRNA from 1 species
GUGAAUUUGUCAAGGGAAACGUAAUGUUGGUCUGGCGAGCUCCCUCACAAUAACAUUAUUAACGGCCACGAUCUGUCAGGACGAUCAUCUAAGUACACUACUUGCUUUUUAUUGACGAUAGAGUAUUACUGUGGGACUUAACGACAGUAAUGCUGCCAAUUAUCAUCAUUGUUGUUUUUAGCUUGCAAACUUACAGUAACACUGCUAAUUAUCUUCAUUCACAUUACUAAUUGGUUUAAUGACAGUAGUACUGAAAUUAUUAGCAUUGCAUGUGUAGUAAUAAUUCUGACUGUUAUGUCUUCCAGUAUGUAUGUAACGUCACCUCCUGUCUGACUAAUAGCACGAUCUUCCAUAUGCCUAGCGAGAGACAUAAUUCAGAAUUCCUAUACUAAUCAGGGCGUACUUCAUGUCGCUAGAGUCGUGUCAAAAUGUAUUUGCAAAGUCGAAUUUGGAAAAGGAUGGGAGUUGCUUUCACAUGCACAACACACGCAGCUACGUACCGGUUUCAUUUUAUUUUAUUUUCUGCCUCUUUCUUUCUCAGAAGCAUACUCGAAGUUCCAUUAACGAGUCAGCCACUUUGGUUGUAGUUGGAACAAGCGUCAUUGUCCACAGCUACACUGUAAUAGUGCUGACUUUGAACAGUAAAAUAGAGAUCCUGAUAAGUGAUUUCUGAAAAGUCGAGAGCAGAGACCACUAGAAAUUGGUGCAGUUGAUCAAAACCAGCAGUUUUUUCUCAGCUUUUUGUCAUCAAAGGUUUGAUGGCCAGCAAACGCUCAGGUAUACAUUCUGAAACUAGCAAGAACCAUCUUCUUCUUUUUUAUUAUUUUAAAUCACAUUUCAAUUUAAGAGUAAUACAUUUUUCGUAGACUUUCUGUGGGAAUACGAACUAUAUGUUACAUGAAAUGACCAGCAUGUGCUAUCAUUUGCGACAGAUGAUCGUAGCCAAUGUACUAAGAAGAGAAAUGAAAUAUAUAGAAAAGAAAAGAGAAAAGAAAAAAACCUUGGAAAAGGCAUUCAUCAGUCCAAAGGUGGGGGUAAUGCUCCACAAUCAAAUUUACUGCUCCCCAGUACAACAGAAGCGCGGAAGAUUAUUGGCAAGGCAAAGUUGUCCCUGACGAAGCAGAUUACACUAGAAUCCCAAGCUAACGCAGAACCGAAAACGAACGACUUCACAGUAAGCCUAAAGGUUCGAGCCCAUCUCUCAUUCUCGUAGUCCCUCAAAGCAGUUGCAAUUUUACGCGAUAACACACUAGGGUCUUCAUCCUUACCACCCCUUAGAGCAUCACAAAGCUUACGAGUCAGUACCACAGAGUCUUCUAACGAAGUGCAACCACCCUGGCCGAGAUUUGGAGUCAUGGGAUGGGCAGCGUCCCCAGCCAAGGUGAUCCCAUUCGAGGCUUCUUGAGCAGUCACAAGGGGAAUUGACCACCGGUCUCUCAGAUUGCUGCGGUUAAAGCUCUCUGGAGGAGUAUUGCAGAUGCACUCUAAGAUAUCACUUGGCCAGCCUUCCAUGUACCGUAGGGCUUCUUCCUUGAUUUUGUUCGGGUCAGUGAUUCUUGAAGGAACUGCAUUUCAAUCAGUGAGUUUCUCAUUUAAGACAACUACACCCAUUUAUACUCGCGGAAGAUCAAAAUACAAGAUUAGAACGGACUUCAGGUUAGGUGCAUGACAAGUUUUUGUACCUUCUCAUCAAACAUCUUUAUCAAAGCAUGUUGGAUGCAAGUGCAACUCCGCACUUGUGCAGGGCUAUUAGGUCUAGGAAACUGAAAUGGCUAAUUGGACAAACAGUGUAUUCGUCAAGGAUGCAAGAGCAUCUUCUAGUCUAAGUUUUUAUUGAAACCAGACGGAUCAUCGUUGCACAGCAACUGAUUAUGUCAUGAAAUACGAAAAAAAACUCCACCCUGACCACUGGUAGGUGGUAGGGCAGUCAUUCUUUGCAAGUCAUAGCAUACCUGACGAUGCCCUUAAUAUGGAUGCAAGAAUUAACCAACGUAAACUGAAACUAUUAGUGGGUUAAGUUGAGAAACGAACGUAGAAAAGGCGUAGUUAGUUACCUGAGGCUGUAGUGUUGAACAGGAUAAACCAAUACACUUUAUACUGCGUCACUGGAACCAAGCCUGCUCUCACGCCUUGGCCAAUUAUCUGUUCCACCCUAGACUGAAACUGAUGUCCAGAGUUGAACUCAGCGAGUCCCCUAAUGGCUGUUUGUCCAACAGCUCGGGGUUCAGACAGGCCCAUCCAUUGAGCUACUACCGAACGAGCCCCGUCACAACCAACCAAGACCUAGAACCAUUACGAUUAGACCUUAAAUUAGAAUGGGAUCACUGCAUUAUUAUCAGACUUGAUGCUUCUAUGAACGGAUCUCUUGGAGGAUUGCAAGGCUGAUAUCUUCUACUUCGUUUCAAGUACUACAGGACUUUCGUGUUCCCUACCUUUGUCUUGAUAACGUUGCCAUUUUCGAGCUCCACUUCGGUGGGAGAUUGCAUGUCACGAGGUUUGCGGAUAGAUUUAACUCGAGAGUUGAACAUUAUGGUAUCACUAGGGAGCGCCUGGUUAAGAGCCUUGAGUAAAGCCUGCCUCUCAACUGCUCGCACCUCAUACGGCCUGUUGGCAGACAAUAACAGGUUAUAGAGCAUCCAUGAGAGUGCAGAAUUUUUUUGAAGGGCUUCCUCUCUAUAAUAUCUAAAGCUUUGACUGAAAUGUUUGUAUAUUUGACAGUCAUUGAGGAAAGUUCGUUAUACAUCACUGUUAUGAACUCUACCCACGUCAUUAGUCAGUUACUCACCCUCCAGGACAGUCAGAAUUUUCGAAUUCUUUGAUAACUUUUCCAUCGUUCGACCGCAUUCUUCCUCUGCAAAAACAAGCUACGAUCUAUAAUUACUGGUCAAAAGCUGAUUCUGUUUGAAAUAGUGUGAUUACGGAAAUCAGCCGGUGGGAUGAGCUCACAAAUCAGGAACAAAACCAACCUUGGUAUGGAGAGUACGAGCAAUGAAAAUAAACAGCAUUCUGCGACAUUUUAAGAAGGAUUGUAGCGCAAUUUCAGCAUUUCAGAACCAACUGGAGGUAUCUGACAUUGUACUAAACUAAGAAGGAAGAUUCAGACAUUUUCUAAAUUAGGAUAGAAACAGUUUAAUCGACUUUGAAGUAAGUGUGAGGAAAUACCCUGUAAUGUUGGUGAACGAACCUCGAAGCUCAUCUGCAAUGCCUAAUGUAUCAAGUGCUCGCCACGCGUUGGGGAAGAGAGUGAGGGAGGUACCCUCUGCGCGCAAGUUUCCUGAUUGCUCCAAGACCAACGCCUUUACUCCCACUCUAUGCACAUUCAUUUGACAAUUAGGUCCAAUUGAAAUAGGUCUUAAUUUUUUUUCCCAGGUUCACUUUUCUGAUACCAUGGGUGGUUUUACCAAUUUUUUUUGUGGGACACAGGAGUGGCAAAAAACUUCAGCGUGUACGCGAAAGUAUUUUAGGGCAAGGACGGGCCCUACAACACCAUGACAACACAGUAAGCUCCACAGAUAAACAUUUGAACCACUAUCCAAAAAGCACGGCCAAAAUGGUCAAUAACGUACAAAAUCAUGUUGGAGCAAAAUAUUGCAAAAUGUAAAAAGUCAAGUAAUUUUAUAGUCAAUCCUCUAGUUGCUCUGUCCAAUUUCUGAAAUCAUAGUACACAACUCAUAAAACAAUUUUCAAUUUCCCACCGAUAAUAUUACUACAGUUCUCUAAAUAUGCCUCACCACUAUGUACACAUUCACCUGAAAUUCUGCAUCUCAAAGACAGAAUUUAGGCAUAGACGAUUGCCCAAGUUUUGACAGUAAUCCUACGGUAUCAGCGUGGUCAAAUCUUCUCAAUGCUAGUAGUCCCUCUAUCUUUCCCAUAUGCAGCACUCCAAGCAACGAAGGCCUUGAAAAGUGUUUGAAACUUGAAAAGCAAGCUCGGGAAUAAUCAGAGCAUGCUUCAACGACCCAUUAUUCCCUUCUGCUUCUAUUGAACAAAAGCUCAAAGACAUUUUGACUACUUUGAAGCUUAUGAUAAUAACGAAAAGCAGAAACAGAAACACAAAGGCAAACUCACUUCCUCACGACAACGUUUAUCAAGCCAAUUGGAUAUCCAUAGUCCCUCCACACACUGUAAUUCAU